rnacentral:rRNA from 1 species
CCUACGGGAGGCAGCAGUGGGGGAUAUUGCACAAUGGGGGGAACCCUGAUGCAGCGACGCCGCGUGAGCGAUGAAGUAUUUCGGUAUGUACAGAUCUAUCAGCAGGGAAGAAAAUGACGGUACCUGACUAAGAAGCCCCGGCUAACUACGUGCCAGCAGCCGCGGUAAUACGUAGGGGGCAAGCGUUAUCCGGAUUUACUGGUGGUAAAGGGAGCGUAGACGGCGGUGUCAGUCUGAAGUGAAAGCCAAGGGCUCAACCUUUGGACUGCUUUGGAAACUGUGAAGCUAGAGUGUCGGAGAGGCAAGUGGAAUUCCUAGUGUAGCGGUGAAAUGCGUAGAUAUUAGGAGGAACACCAGUGGCGAAGGCGGCUUGCUGGACGAUGACGGACGUUGAGGCUCGAAAGCGUGGGGAGCAAACAGGAUUAGAUACCCUAGUAGUC